CCUACGGGGGGCAGCAGUCGAGAAUCAUUCACAAUGGGGGAAACCCUGAUGGUGCGACGCCGCGUGGGGGAAUGAAGGUCUUCGGAUUGUAAACCCCUGUCAUAUGGGAGCAAAUUAAAAAGAUAGUACCACAAGAGGAAGAGACGGCUAACUCUGUGCCAGCAGCCGCGGUAAUACAGAGGUCUCAAGCGUUGUUCGGAAUCACUGGGCGUAAAGCGUGCGUAGGCUGUUUCGUAAGUCGUGUGUGAAAGGCGCGGGCUCAACCCGCGGACGGCACAUGAUACUGCGAGACUAGAGUAAGGGAGGGGGAACCGGAAUGCUCGGUGUAGCAGUGAAAUGCGUAGAUAUUGAGAGGAACACUCGUGGCGAAGGCGGGUUCCUGGACAUUAACUGACGCUGAGGCACGAAGGCCAGGGGAGCGAAAGGGAUUAGAUACCCUAGUAGUC
rnacentral:rRNA from 1 species